GGGUGAUUAGCUCAGUGGUAGAGCGCUUCGUUCACAUCGAAGAUGUCAGCGGUUCAAAUCCGUUAUCACCCACCA
rnacentral:tRNA from 17 species